rnacentral:rRNA from 1 species
AGAAUCAACGCUGGCGGCGUGCCUAACACAUGCAAGUCGAACGAGAAAGUGGAGCAAUCCAUGAGUAAAGUGGCGACCGGGUGAGUAACACGUGACUAACCUACCUUCGAGUGGGGGAUAACAUCGGGAAACCGAUGCUAAUACCGCAUAACAUCGCAAGAUCAAAGCAGUAAUGCGCUUGAAGAGGGGGGUCGCGGCUGAUUAGCUAGUUGGCGGGGUAACGGCCCACCAAGGCGAAGAUCGGUAGCCGGCCUGAGAGGGCGCACGGCCACACUGGAACUGAAACACGGUCCAGACUCCUACGGGAGGCAGCAGUGGGGAAUUUUGCGCAAUGGGGGAAACCCUGACGCAGCAACGCCGCGUGGAGGAUGAAGCCCCUUGGGGCGUAAACUCCUUUCGACCAAGACGAUAAUGACGGUACUGGUGGAAGAAGCACCGGCUAACUCUGCGCCAGCAGCCGC